rnacentral:rRNA from 1 species
UACGUAGGGGGCAAGCGUUGUUCGGAAUUACUGGGCGUAAAGCGCACGUAGGCGGACAUUUAAGUCAGGGGUGAAAUCCCGGGGCUCAACCCCGGAACUGCCUUUGAUACUGGGUGUCUUGAGUGUGGAAGAGGUGAGUGGAAUUCCGAGUGUAGAGGUGAAAUUCGUAGAUAUUCGGAGGAACACCAGUGGCGAAGGCGGCUCACUGGUCCACAACUGACGCUGAGGUGCGAAAGCGUGGGGAGCAAACAGG